AACGAACGCUGGCGGCACGUUUUAAGCAUGCAAGUCGAAUGGCAGUGGGGGCAACCCCAUGAGAAUGGCGAACGGGUGAGUAACACGUAGGUGAUCUGCCUGACGGAUGGGGAUAGCUUGUGGAAACACAGGGUAAUACCGAAUGAGCUGACGAGACUUUGGUUUUGUUAGUAAAGGUGCUACGGCACCGCCGACAGAGGAGCCUGCGGCUGAUUAGCUAGUUGGUGGGGUAAAGGCCUACCAAGGCGACGAUCAGUAGCCGGCCUGAGAGGGUGUACGGCCAAACUGGAACUGAGACACGGUCCAGAAUCCUACGGGAGGCAGCAGCUAAGAAUCUUACGCAAUGGGCGAAAGCCUGACGGAGCGAUGCCGCGUGAUCGAUGAAGGUCGAGAGAUUGUAAAGAUCUUUUCUACAUGAGGAAUAAGUCUGGGAGGGAAUGCCUGGAUGAUGACGUUAGUGUAGGAAUAAGCCCCGGCUAAUUACGUGCCAGCCGCCGCCGUAA
rnacentral:rRNA from 1 species